AUUGAACGCUGGCGGCAGGCUUAACACAUGCAAGUCGAGCGGGGUGAUGGUGCUUGCACUAUCACUUAGCGGCGGACGGGUGAGUAAUGCUUAGGAAUCUGCCUAUUAGUGGGGGACAACAUCUCGAAAGGGAUGCUAAUACCGCAUACGUCCUACGGGAGAAAGCAGGGGAUCACUUGUGACCUUGCGCUAAUAGAUGAGUCUAAGUCGGAUUAGCUAGUGGGUGGGGUAAAGGCCUACCAAGGCGACGAUCUGUAGCGGGUCUGAGAGGAUGAUCCGCCACACUGGGACUGAGACACGGCCCAGACUCCUACGGGAGGCAGCAGUGGGGAAUAUUGGACAAUGGGGGGAACCCUGAUCCAGCCAUGCCGCGUGUGUGAAGAAGGCCUUAUGGUUGUAAAGCACUUUAAGCGAGGAGGAGGCUCUUUUGGUUAAUACCCAAGAUGAGUGGACGUUACUCGCAGAAUAAGCACCGGCUAACUCUGUGCCAGCCGCCGCGGUAA
rnacentral:rRNA from 1 species